rnacentral:rRNA from 1 species
AGUGAACGCUGGCGGUAGGCCUAACACAUGCAAGUCGAACGGCAGCACAGUAAGAGCUUGCUCUUACGGGUGGCGAGUGGCGGACGGGUGAGGAAUACAUCGGAAUCUACUUUUUCGUGGGGGAUAACGUAGGGAAACUUACGCUAAUACCGCAUACGACCUACGGGUGAAAGCAGGGGAUCUUCGGACCUUGCGCGAUUGAAUGAGCCGAUGUCGGAUUAGCUAGUUGGCGGGGUAAAGGCCCACCAAGUCGACGAUCCGUAGCUGGUCUGAGAGGAUGAUCAGCCACACUGGAACUGAGACACGGACCAGACUCCUACGGGAGGCAGCAGUGGGGAAUAUUGGACAAUGGGCGCAAGCCUGAGCCAGCCAUACCGCGUGGGUGAAGAAGGCCUUCGGGUUGUAAAGCCCUUUUGUUGGGAAAGAAAAGCAGCAGGUUAAUACCCCGCUGUUCUGACGGUACCCAAAGAAUAAGCACCGGCUAACUUCGUG